UUUGUAAGAAACUUAAUGAGGUUUCUGAAAAGGAUCUGAUGACAGAUACAUGACUUAAGGGCUAUGAUGCAUAUUUUGGAUCCAGUUCCUACCUGGGUGCUGGAAGACCGGUGUACCUGUAAUGACACCAAUGAUUCCUGGAAUAGUGAAUCUCUCCAUGGUAAAUGAAGAAAUUCUAAUACUAAACUAGAAUUAAUAACUUUCUUGCUGAGAAAUCUUCAUAGUCUGAGAAAACAUCAUUUCUGUGAGUUUUCCUAUUUAAGCUUUUUUAAAAAUGCAAAGUGCUGGACAAAAAUCCAUUUAUAUUCAUAUUACAAACUCCUCUUGUUCAUUUUCAAAUAUAAAAAAGUUCAGAUCAGGACUGAGAGCUUACCUCAGAGCAUCUGCUUUGCAGUGGGUGUAUAAUGAUUUAACUGAGAAUUUCAUCAAACAGUGAUCUGCACUGAAUUUGCUGGUGGUUCCUCCCCCUUGUUUCCAGAUAUUAAAUUGCAGAUAAAGACACACUAAAUACUGCCUUAAUAUUACUUUUCUACAUAACCAUUUGCUGCAUUUUUUUGCGUGGGCUUGUUCAGGUGAUCACAAAUGGGAAGAGUUGACCAGGGUUGCCAGCUAUCAGUAUAUUUACAGACAGUCCAUAAAAAACAACUACAAUUAGACCCAUCUGUAAAAACAUUUAGCUAUCAGUGAAAACAACACCAAGCUUUGCAGUGGAGCUGAGGAGUUCCUCUCCUUGGUCCCUGCAUGAGCUCCUUGUCAUGGGCAGCUCCAGAGUUUGCAAUUCCCCAGGCAAGGGAAUAGACAGGAAUUCUCCAGUCAGGAGCUCCCUCUGACCUGCUGCUUGCUGGUGGGGGCUGUUCCAUCUCCAGCUUUGAACUCUUCAUUGGCAUCACAAGCUUCAGCACAGCAUCAGCUUUUGGUGAGAGUGGAUACAGCACACACCCCUGUCAGGCUUCCUGCGGCUGACGGGGUGGGGAACAGGAAACAGCAGGCCAGGCUUAGCAGACUCCCCUAGUCUCCCCACUGGUAAGCCACAAUGAGGCAGUCACUAGUGGUGGCUCUUAGCCCAAGGUAGGUGACCUGCUCCUGGGCAUCACCUGGCAGUGUGGGAGGAGGAUCCAGAGGGGGAUGAUUUGGGUUGGGUUAGCUAUAAUAGGAAUAGGUUUAUGUCAGCAUGCAUAUCGACUACAGUUCAUUUUUGUCCUUUUGAGCCAUCGUUAUAUUAUGCAAGAAUGUGUCUGUAAAAAUGCUUUGGUUGUCCGUAACUUUUUCUAUACGAUUCAUAGAAAUCAUUUUCAGCAAAAGGCAACCCUGAAGUUGACUGGGAAUGAUAUUACAUGAUAUUAAAGGUGAUCAGUAACACAGAAAAUUUGCUCUGGUGUUUAACGGUUUCACUCACAAUAAAGGGUUCUGUCACCACCUUCCAAAAGACCCUGCAUGCAGCUUUGGCUCAGAGGCUUGACAGCAACAGGCUCUUCGCAGCACAGUUACCUCACCCUGGCUUCCACCAGCCUGGUCACAUCUGCUAUUAAAAACAUAUUUCCAGCACACUUAUAUAAUUAUUCAUACAUGGUCAAUAGAUACUUUACAUAAUAAUAUUAAUGGCCAUUGUGUUAUCAGUUGGCAUGAUACCUUAUGUGACAUCUUUAAAAUACCCAUUAUGACAGCAAUGAGUUAGGGGCAAUGAGUGAAUCAGGCCAGAUGUGCAUAAGGGAAUGCUAUGCCCAUUGCCUCGGUCACAGUUUGCGAAGCCGCAAUGUAUUGAAUUCUGCCAAUGUUCUGGAUCAAAUCUGUUUAGAUGAAAUGGAAGGGUACUCAGUGGAAAUGGAGAACCUAGAAAGGAGGAUAUUGAGAGUUUCUCCUAGUCCUGCAAAAACAAAGCAAAGAUCACAAGAUCCUCAGAGCAGAAACAGUUGAAUUGUCGUACUCUACAGGACUGAGGACAGUACAUAGGCAAUCAAAGUCUUUAAUACAUGUAUUACACAUAAACUUUCCUCUUCUACAUAAAUGAAUAUAUUCUGCAUUGCUCUAAUUUCCCACACCAAGAGAAAAACUAUAAAAGAAUGCUGAUAUUUUCUGCAAGUGCUAAAAUUCUUAGCUAGAUAUGUCCUUUUUUUUCUUGCCACUAUAAAACAAUAAAAACUGCAUGUUGGUGCACAUAAAGAGGAGAGAUGGAUCUACAGUACUCAUCUCGUUGGGAGGAGAAUGAAAUUACCUUAGAACAUACAUUUUGAGGUUGAAACAUGCAGUCCUUGCACCGAGUCACUCUUGAUUAAAUGAGUAUGUCAAUAGGAAUAUGUCUGGCGUAAGACAAAAAAAAAAAAGAUUGUAAGUAUGGCUCAUUUGAUUUUAUUGUGUUGCACAGAGUUUAUUAUAAUAUGGUCAUAAUCCUAAUUUUUAAUGUUAACCAAAAAAAGACACUAGUACUAGCUAGUGUCAAUUCCUUCUUUUAGCUCUAUGUGAGCCAUCCAAAUCCAACACCAAUUCAGAAUGUGAAAUUGCUCAACAAUGUUGGUUAAAAAUAGAAUGAAUAUUGGCAUGCAUCUCAGUAAUUAAGCUUUUUCGUGAACUGGAGAUCAUACAUUUGGUUUUUUUUCUGUACAUUUGUUCCAAUAAGAUAAGAUGCAACACCUACAAUAGCGGAACUUGACAUUUGUUUAUUGAGUUUCCUAUUUUCAUUCUACAGGUUAUCUCCUGCUGCACAAACACAGACACAGAAUAAUUAAUAGCAGACUCUCAGUACAUGUUGUACCUUGUGAAGGAAUGCUUCCAGAAUCAACACUAACCUCCCAGUAGGGAAAUAUCUAACUGACCAUUGUGAGGAAUUAGAUGUAAAAAUGAUUAGACAGUAAAUAGAAACUAAGGCUUUGAACCUCAUCCUACAACCACUUCUCAUGUGACUAAGUAACAGUGCUUUAGGGUGAGCAAGAGUUACAAGAUCAUUCCCUUACGUAACAGUAUUUUCCUAGAAGAACAAUCUCAAUGGUUUUACUAUUCUGUAAUGUUAAAAUUAAGAAAAACAGAUCUGGGAAUAUAGAUAUAUGAAUAUCGAUAAGCACCCAGAUAAACAGAAGAGAUAAAUAAGUACACAAAUCAAAGAUUGUAAACAAUCUUUGUAGACAAGUAACAACUUCCAGAUGAAUCCCUGUGGUGUUUUAGAUGCUGCUUGUAAUUAUUAGAACUGGGAGCAUUGGCUGUUGGGAGUCUGGAAGCACAGGAAGCAGGAAACAGGAAGGAGUGAGGAGAAGAUUGACAGGGGCUGAGUGAAAGCUACUGAGAGAUGCAGCAGCUUUGUAAAGAGGUUCCACUUUUGGUAAAUAAAGUCCUAUUGAAGUUUGUUAGUACCUUGCUUGCAUGAUAUAACAAUCCCUAAUUCCCACGGAGAAUCCAUAACCUACUGCCUCCAAAACAGCUUGCAAGCCAACAGUCAGAUCAAGAGACCCAAGUCUGUAUUAUUUCUUUUGCUGCUGACAAGAUUCAGCCUUUGACUUUUUGAUUCAUGUUGAUUCCACUUAGAAGAUAGCAGACUGUAUAUGACUGUCUUCAUCCAUUGCCUCUAGGCCAAUAAUAGUUCUUAUACUCUAAGGCUGCGUCUAGACUGGCAUGAUUUUACGCAUAUACUUUU